GAUGAACGCUGGCGGCGUGCCUAAUACAUGCAAGUCGAGCGAAUGGAUUAAGAGCUUGCUCUUAUGAAGUUAGCGGCGGACGGGUGAGUAACACGUGGGUAACCUGCCCAUAAGACUGGGAUAACUCCGGGAAACCGGGGCUAAUACCGGAUAACAUUUUGAACCGCAUGGUUGGAAAUUGAAAGGCGGCUUCGGCUGUCACUUAUGGAUGGACCCGCGUCGCAUUAGCAAGUUGGGGAGGUAACGGCUCACCAAGGCAACGAUGCGUAGCCGACCUGAGAGGGUGAUCGGCCACACUGGGACUGAGACACGGCCCAGACUCCUACGGGAGGCAGCAGUAGGGAAUCUUCCGCAAUGGACGAAAGUCUGACGGAGCAACGCCGCGUGAGUGAUGAAUGCUUUCGGGUCGUAAAACUCUGUUGUUAGGGAAGAACAAGUGCUAGUUGAAUAAGCUGGCACCUUGACGGUACCUAACCAGAAAGCCACGGCUAACUACGUGCCAGCCGCCGCCGUAA
rnacentral:rRNA from 1 species